AUUGAACGCUGGCGGCAUGCCUUACACAUGCAAGUCGAACGGCAGCACGGGGGCAACCCUGGUGGCGAGUGGCGAACGGGUGAGUGAUACAUCGGAAUGUACCCAGUAGUGGGGGAUAACUAGUCGAAAGAUUAGCUAAUACCGCAUACGCACUAUGGUGGAAAGCGGGGGAUCGCAAGACCUCGCGCUAUUGGAGCAGCCGAUGUCCGAUUAGGUAGUUGGUGGGGGUAAAAAGCCUACCAAGCCUGCGAUCGGUAACUGGUCUGAGAGGACGACCAGUCACACUGGGACUGAGACACGGCCCAGACUCCUACGGGAGGCAGCAGUGGGGAAUUUUGGACAAUGGGGGAAACCCUGAUCCAGCAAUGCCGCGUGUGUGAAGAAGGCCUUCGGUUGUAAACUGCUUUGUACGGUAACGAAAAAGACUACUCUCUAAUACAGGGGUGAA
rnacentral:rRNA from 1 species